UGUAAGCGUAUACCAAAGUUGUUGCAGUUAAAACGCUCGUAGUCGGAAUUUGGCAGUUCCGGAUGUGUGCACGUCGUGUGCGCACUUCGCGGGGAUUGCUUUUGUGGUCUUGCGUAGGAUGAGGCACUUUUAUUAGUGAACGUCCUCACGCAACCACUUUUUACUGUGAGAAAAUCAGAGUGCUCAAAGCAGGCAUUUGCCGUGAAUGUAUUAGCAUGGAAUAAUAGAAUAGGACUUGGUUCUAUUUUGUUGGUUUGUUGGGACUGAGUAAUGAUUAAGAGGGACAGUUGGGGGCAUUUGUAUUUCGGUGCUAGAGGUGAAAUUCUUAGAUUACCGAAAGACAAACUGCUGCGAAAACGUCUGCCAAGGAUGUUUUCAUUGA
rnacentral:rRNA from 1 species